rnacentral:rRNA from 1 species
UACGUGAGGGGGCUAGCGUUGUCCGGAAUCAUUGGGCGUAAAGCGCGCGUAGGCGGCCCGGUAAGUCCGCUCUGAAAGUCCAGGGCUCAACCCUGGAAAGCGGGUGGAUACUGCCCGGGCUAGAAUCCGGAAGAGGCGAGUGGAAUUCCUGGGUGUAGCGGUGGAAUGCGCAGAUAUCAGGAGGAACACCAAUGGCGAAGGCAGCACUCUGGGACGGUACUGACGCUGAGACGCGAAAGCGUGGGGAG